ensembl:ncRNA lncRNA:CR44647 long non-coding RNA:CR44647
AUAUGCUUGCGGCCUCGCCACGGGCACGGAAUAUUAAAUAAAAACCAAUAAACGUUAAAAGCCUUUGCAGUGGGCCGUGGCCAUAAGCCACCUGCCAAACCAGGUCGACCAAAACCACGAUCCUCGGCCGACCGUCGCAAACCCUCCCUCUUCUCCCUUCUCCCACGAUGUUCCGAUUCCCCUUCGAGGCUGGCUAUGCGCCCGAUUAAAUGCAUUUAAAUGUGUUUUCAUCAUAAUUAUGCAUAUGCAAACAUGACUCGACCAGUGGCCACUCUAUCGUUGAAUAUAUCCCCCCAACUUC